UACGUAGGGUGCGAGCGUUGUCCGGAAUUAUUGGGCGUAAAGAGCUCGUAGGCGGUGUGUCACGUCGGCCGUGAAAACCUGGGGCUUAACUCUGGGCGUGCGGUCGAUACGGGCAUCACUAGAGUUCGGCAGGGGAGACUGGAAUUCCCGGUGUAGAGGUGAAAUUCGUAGAUAUCGGGAGGAACACCAGUGGCGAAGGCGGCGACCUGGGGCGAUACUGACGCUGAGGUGCGAAAGCGUGGGGAGCAAACAGG
rnacentral:rRNA from 1 species